AGCAGCCGCGGUAAUUCCAGCUCCAAUAGCGUAUAUUUAAGUUGUUGCAGUUAAAAAGCUCGUAGUUGAAUUUCGGGAUCAAUAUGCUGGUCGUGCCAUUGGUACGUACUAGUAUUAUUGGUUUCUCUUUUCUGAUGAAUCAUGAUGUCAUUAAUUUGAUGUCAUGAGGAAUCAGGACUGUUACUUUGAAAAAAUUAGAGUGUUUAAAGCAGGCUCGCGCUUGAAUACAUUAGCAUGGAAUAAUGAAAUAGGAUGUUUGAUUCUAUUUUGUUGGUUUCUAGGAUUGACGUAAUGAUUAAUAGGGAUAGUUGGGGGCAUUAGUAUUCAAUUGUCAGAGGUGAAAUUCUUGGAUUUAUUGAAGACUAACUACUGCGAAAGCAUUUGCCAAGGAUGUUUUCAUUAAUCAAGAACGAAAGUUAGGGGGUCGAAGACGAUCAGAUACCGUCGUAGUCUUAACCAUAAACUAUGCCGACUAGGGAUCGGAUGAUGUUAAUUUUUUAAUGACUCAUUCGGCGCCUUA
rnacentral:misc_RNA from 1 species